rnacentral:rRNA from 1 species
AUUGAACGCUGGCGGCAUGCCCUACACAUGCAAGUCGAACGGUAGAGUAGCAAUACUUGAGAGUGGCGAACGGGUGAGUAAUAUAUCGGAACGUGCCCAGUCGUGGGGGAUAACGUAGAGAAAUUUACGCUAAUACCGCAUACGAUCUAAGGAUGAAAGCGGGGGAUUCGCAAGAACCUCGCGCGAUUGGAGCGGCUGAUAUCAGAUUAGGUUGUUGGUGAGGUAAAAGCUCACCAAGCCGACGAUCUGUAGCUGGUUUGAGAGAACGACCAGCCACACUGGGACUGAGACACGGCCCAGACUCCUACGGGAGGCAGCAGUGGGGAAUUUUGGACAAUGGGCGAAAGCCUGAUCCAGCAAUGCCGCGUGCAGGAAGAAGGCCUCGGUUG